ACUGUUCGGCAUGUAUUAUCUACUGUAUAGUAUAGGUAGAAAAAUGAGCCACCGGAAUGGAGCCAUAAAGCUGGUAUACUAUACAGGUACGUGUUAAUUCUUAAUGCAUGAAGAAAAAAUGAAAAAAAUGCAAUAUAACAAUAUAACCCAGGAAAAAAUGCAAUAUAACAAUAGAAACGUGCAGCAUCGAACAAAAGAAAAAG